rnacentral:tRNA from 1 species
GCGCUGGUGGGUCAAUGGUAGAAUUCUUGCUUCCAUACAGCAGACCCAGGUUCGAUUCCUGGCCAGUGCA